CCUACGGGUGGCUGCAGUGGGGAAUAUUGGACAAUGGGCGAAAGCCUGAUCCAGCCAUGCCGCGUGUGUGAAGAAGGCCUUCGGGUUGUAAAGCACUUUCAGUGGGGAAGAAAGCCUUGGGGCUAAUACCCUCGAGGAAGGACAUCACCCACAGAAGAAGCACCGGCUAACUCCGUGCCAGCAGCCGCGGUAAUACGGAGGGUGCGAGCGUUAAUCGGAAUUACUGGGCGUAAAGCGCGCGUAGGCGGUCUGAUAAGCCGGUUGUGAAAGCCCCUGGCUCAACCUGGGAACGGCAUCCGGAACUGUCAGGCUAGAGUGCAGGAGAGGAAGGUAGAAUUCCCGGUGUAGCGGUGAAAUGCGUAGAGAUCGGGAGGAAUACCAGUGGCGAAGGCGGCCUUCUGGACUGACACUGACGCUGAGGUGCGAAAGCGUGGGUAGCAAACAGGAUUAGAUACCCCUGUAGUC
rnacentral:rRNA from 1 species